rnacentral:lncRNA from 1 species
CAAGGCUUAGAACUCUGUAGAUGCUGUCAUUCUGUCAAGACAAACUCCAGCUUCCUCUAUGGAAUUAUGUUCAAAUGAGAGAGAGUGUCAUUGGAAGUCUUCUAUCCAUUCAUCCUCUUGCUAGGGUACGAGAUCUGUCCUGCAUUCCUGUAUGCCUCUGGAGAUGGCCUUAUGAGAGAAAGCAGGAAAUAAUUCCAGAUGUCCUUGGCCUCUGCACCCCUGUGGAAUCCAGUUCAUCUCCAAUCCGUCAGAAAGCAUCAGAGGUGGUUUUGAUUCCUUAUGUCCUGAGCCUGUGCACAAAAUGUGUGAGUGAUAAAUGCAAUGGUCAAAACGAUUUCACUAAAGGGAAGACAGGAGAUCGUGCAGAGGGUCAUACAUUGGAUGUGCAACAGUGGAUCAUGAGGCCAAGGUGCUUGGGUAAUACCUUGUGUGAAGGAAAAUGAGAUCCCGAGUGAAGUCUACAAUGUCAUUGACUCUGAAGAAGGACUCAGAGACCCAUUGGUGUUUAAUGACCCUUACUGGCCUAUGCAAUGGGAACUGAUUCUGAGUGUGCCUUGACAUCAGUAGCAGAGGAUGUGAGCAAAGCAACUUUCAGAGCAUCAGAUGUGAGCAAAGCAACUUCCAGAGCAUCAGAUGUGAGCAAAGCAACUUUCAGAGCAUCAGAAGUGUCAGCAGAAGGAAAAUCAGCACAAGUAGAAAGUAUCAAGGUAAUUUUCCCAAUUAUAGUAUUCCAUGAAGUCAGUCAUUGCCACUCUUGGCUGCUGGAGCCUCCUUCUCUGUUGUUAAAUGCCAUAUAAACUAUCUGUCAGCCUCCAAGGCUGAUCAGUUCUCUUGUACAGAGAGAAAUACAAAGGUAAAAACAAAUUCAGCA